rnacentral:misc_RNA from 1 species
GUCACAAGGUUUGAAGGCCCUCGCUUCGGCAACGAAGCGGGGGCCUUUCCUUUUGCGCGCAGCCAUUACGCAUGGCGG